rnacentral:rRNA from 1 species
CAAUAGCGUAUAUUUAAGUUGCUGCAGUUAAAAAGCUCGUAGUUGGAUUUCGGGUGGGAAUGGCCGGUCCGCCGUUUCGGUGUGCACUUGCUACGCCCACCUUGCUGCCGGGGACGUGCUCUUGAGUUCACGCUCGGGACACGGAGUCGGCGAGGUUACUUUGAGUAAAUUAGAGUGUUCAAGGCAGGCUCUCGCCUGAAUACAUUAGCAUGGAAUAAUGGAAGAGGACCUCGGUCCUAUUUUGUUGGUUUCUAGGGCCGAAGUAAUGAUUAAGAGGGACAGUUGGGGGCAUUCGUAUUUAAUUGUCAGAGGUGAAAUUCUCGGAUUUAUGAAAGACGAACAACUGCGAAAGCAUUUGCCAAGGAUGUUUUCAUUAA